rnacentral:ribozyme from 1 species
CAGCCGCAGCAAUACCAGCCGCAGCACUGCCAGCCGUAGCACUGCCAGCCGUAGCACUGCCGCCUCCGCCGCGGGUAUGCAGGAGAAAGUGACGCCGGCGCCGGAGCGGGGGCGUGGUAGGGCCAGUGCAUCCCUGGC